AUGGGACUGCGGCCUAUCAGCUUGUUGGUGAGGUAAUGGCCCACCAAGGCUAUAACAGGUACGGGCUCUGAGAGGAGAAGCCCGGAGAUGGGUACUGAGACACGGACCCAGGCCCUAUGGGGCGCAGCAGGCGCGAAAACUCCGCAAUGCGCGAAAGCGUGACGGGGGAACCCCAAGUGCCGUUGGUCUUUUGAUCGACGGCUUUUCGGAAGUCUAGGAAGCUUCCGGAAUAAGGGCUGGGCAAGUCUGGUGCCAGCCGCCGCGGUAAUACCAGCAGCCCAAGUGGUGGCCGCGUUUAUUGGGCCUAAAGCGCUCGUAGCCGGGUCUGUAAGUCCCUUGUGAAAUCUGACGGCUCAACCGUUCGGCUUGCAAGGGAGACUGCUAGCCUUGGAACCGGGAGAGGUCGGGGGUACUUCGGGGGUAGCGGUGAAAUGCUGUAAUCCCUGGGGGACCACCAGUGGCGAAGGCGCCCGGCCAGAACGGAUUCAACGGUGAGGGGCGAAGGCUGGGGGAGCGAACGGGAUUAGAUACCCCGGUAGUCCCAGCUGUAAAGGAUGCGGGCUGGGUGUCAGGUGCCCUUCGAGAGCACCUGGUGCCGUAGGGAAGCCGUUAAGCCCGCCGCCUGGGAAGU
rnacentral:rRNA from 1 species